rnacentral:rRNA from 1 species
UACGUAGGGUGCGAGCGUUGUCCGGAAUUACUGGGCGUAAAGAGCUCGUAGGUGGUUUGUCGCGUUGUUCGUGAAAACUCACAGCUUAACUGUGGGCGUGCGGGCGAUACGGGCAGACUGGAGUACUGCAGGGGAGACUGGAAUUCCUGGUGUAGCGGUGGAAUGCGCAGAUAUCAGGAGGAACACCGGUGGCGAAGGCGGGUCUCUGGGCAGUAGCUGACGCUGAGGAGCGAAAGCGUGGGGAGCGAACAGG